rnacentral:rRNA from 1 species
AGUUUGAUCCUGGCUCAGGAUGAACGCUGGCGGCGUGCCUAACACAUAGCAAGUCGAACGAAGUUACUUGCUUAGAUCUCUUCGGAGUGACGAGCUUUUAACUUAGUGGCGGACGGGUGAGUAACACGUGAGCAACCUGCCUUUCAGAGGGGGAUAACGGCUGGAAACGGUCGCUAAUACCGCAUGAUAUAUUGAAUCGGCAUCGGUUUGAUAUCAAAGGAGCAAUCCGCUGAAAGAUGGGCUCGCGUCUGAUUAGAUAGUUGGUGGGGUAACGGCCUACCAAGUCGACGAUCAGUAGCCGGACUGAGAGGUUGAACGGCCACAUUGGGACUGAGAUACGGCCCAGACUCCUACGGGAGGCAGCAGUGGGGAAUAUUGCACAAUGGGGGAAACCCUGAUGCAGCAACGCCGCAUGAAGGAAGACGGUUUUCGGAUUGUAAACUUCUUUUCUUAGUGAAGAAGAAAGUGACGGUAGCUAAGGAAUAAGCAUCGGCUAACUACGUG